UGUGUGCCAGGAGUUGUAGGAGGAAGCUGUACUGCUGGAGAAACUGGGUAGUACAAACCCUAUCAGGUACAAGGAAGGAGGCCCUGAGUUUCCUGGGUAACAGCGGACUUCCUAUUCCAGUCAUCUGAUGAAUUAGUUCUCAAAAAUGGGAGAGGCUCACAGAGCUUUUUUUUUUUUUUUCCUCAAUGGCUGAAUAGUAAAUUACAGGAGAUGAGCCAGUUGGGCAUAGAUUAGAGAAGUAGCUGGGAAGUCUCCAGGGUUUGCUUUCCUUCUGAAGAAAGAUUUCAUCCAUAUAAUUUAAAAAAUGUUAUGAUGACCAUGACCAAGAGUUCACUUGACCCUCUGCCACACACACCCUGUAGUCCAUUUUGAUCUGUUUCAAGCUAUGCAAAAAUCUGUCAUCUCAGACCUAUUGGCCUCAUUAGUAGUUCCUUCAAAUUAUCUUCACUGUAUGUGAAGUGGAUUGGCUCUUGUAACAGAAUGGCCUGCCCCUUUUAGGGUCAGGGUUCUUAGGCCAGCAGACCUGAUCAAUUUUCAGACCCAGCUGGAAAGGGAGCAAAGAAUUAUAAGACAGCAAGACUGUUUUGUGAUCAGAAUUACUGGGGGAGGGUCUGGCAUUGCCAGGCUGCGCUGCCUCCUCCCCUCUCCUGUAGUAGGAGGAUUGAAAGCUCUGUCCAGUCAGUACUGGGAGAAAAUUUCAGAGCUGUAGCCCAUGGUGAGCAGAGAAACUACUUUUUUGUUUGGUUGCUUUGCCUAAGCUAAGAAUAACUCUCUGCUGUGAAAGAGUGGCAGAGAGUCUUUUCUGGGUUGUGAAAACAGGCCAGCAGGUCACAUGCGAUGGAGAAUGCAGAUAGGCAAUCAGCUCUUGUACUGAGGCAGAGGCUAGCCUGAAGCCAAACCAGGAAGAAAGAACAGGAGAGAAUUGACAUUUGAAUUUAACCUCUAUUGCUGCUAGAGGAAAAUGAAUAGACAGCAUGUGUGUCUCGGCUAGAGAGCCGAGUCACUAAAGACCAGUUGAAGACACCCCUGACGAGGAGAUGCUUUCAAGAGGUGGGUGCUGACCUGUUACACCCCACAAAGAGCCUCUCUUCUUCCUACUGCUCAGAACCACCCCUUCAGCUUUCAAUUCUCCUUUCAAUUCAAUUUGCCAAGCUCAGAAUACAUUCUCCUAUGUGAGUGUGUGUGCACACCCCACUUCCUGCCAGGUUUGGAAAACCUGACCACAGGCAAAGAACUCUUCUGCAUGCCUGACACCGAACUUUACCAGAGUCAGAAGUGUUGCUGCUAUCCAGCCACCUCAGAAAUCUCCCAUUCUUUGGCUCUGUGUGUUACUGGACCUAAAGAAGCAGAAGCAAAUUAGCAGGGGAGUGCUCUGGAACCUUUGUGGGGUUGUUCCAAACUUGCAUUUCCUGCUCUGUUCUCCUUCUCUGCCACCUGUAGCUAUGUUCGUCAGUAUGUAGCCUUAUUAAUUUAUUGAUUGGUUUUAUUAGAUAACAGUGACCUGGGUUAAGAAUUUGGCCUCCUAAACUACUAUAGUAUGAGGAUUAGCAGCAUGAGAAUCACCAUUAGGAAUGUCUUUUUGAUUUGGAGAUUUUAGUAGCACAUGUAGAACAAUGACCACAACAUACCGAUGUACUUAAAAGUUUUCAAAGGUCCUUUUAUUAACAUAUUCAACUAAGCAGUGAAACAAUCCCACAAACACUAAAUAAAGAUAUAGAUAGAGUGCAAAGUGUUGAUCCCUGUGACUAGCAUCUCUCACAUCUCCUUCUGGGGGACAUUAGAGUGUCAGUCAAUAUCUUCCUCAUCAUCUUUAUCACAAUGGUUGUCAUUCUACUGUCUCCUAUGCAUUCCCCACCAGCACACAAGGAGGCAACACUUUUAUCCUGUGUUAUGCUAUAGUUAAGGCUCAUUUUUUUAUAUAUAUAUAUGGGUUCCACCCCCUUUUUCCUUUUCAUACUGCCACACCCACUAAUUUAGGGAUAGCCAAUGAGAAAUGGGGCAUCUCCUUAGUUCCCCUUAUUCUCACUAACAUCUAUGUCAGUGAGUUACCACAGCAAGCUGGUUAUUACAGAAUCCCCUGAAAUGUUACCAGCAGGCCCCUUGCAAUAUUAACUGGGAUGUUAUUGCAUAUUUUCCAGUCUACCGAUGCAUAGUUUCCAGAACAUCUGCACUUCAUAAUCUUACACUUUACUGGUACAGGUUUCAGUCAACUAGUCACGCUAUCCUGUUUCAGGCCUAAGGUCUUGUGUGGCUAAGCUGAAUAUCUCAAAGGCCUGAAGCCUGUAGGCCCUGUGUUACAACAUGAAUUAAUACUUAUAGUUUACCUCUAUCCUAAAGGAACUUAAUGUGUGUUAUUCUUAGCUACAAGGGCCAGGAGUCCCCUGAGGUAAACUUAAUUAUCCUUCUGCCCUCCUGCUCCUCUAUUCCUGCAGGACAUGCAGAAAUGGAGUAACUGGAAAUCAGGCCUAGUGCCUACAGUGUGGCUGAUAGCUGUGAUAUUCUUUAGGGGUGGACGGGGGUAGCUUCAUUAACUGACCAGCUGCUCUGCGACAGUUGCGUACAGAUGUGAACAAAAUUAUUGUGAAAAGCGCACUCAUCUGGAACUGAAAGAUACUGUCUUAUGCUAUGAUAGUGCUGGGCAAAAAUUUUCCUCCGAAACAUUUUUCUGCAAAAAGUGCACAUUCAAUGACCUCGAAAUAUUCUGUGAAUGUGUUGAAUUCACCAAAUUUUUUCAGUUUAAAAAAAAAAGUCAAAAUACUGUUUUGUUAUUUUAGAAAUAAAACAUC